CCUGGGGAGUACGGCCGCAAGGUUAAAACUCAAAUGAAUUGACGGGGGCCCGCACAAGCGGUGGAGCAUGUGGUUUAAUUCGAUGCAACGCGAAGAACCUUACCUGGUCUUGACAUCCACAGAACUUAGCAGAGAUGCUUUGGUGCCUUCGGGAACUGUGAGACAGGUGCUGCAUGGCUGUCGUCAGCUCGUGUUGUGAAAUGUUGGGUUAAGUCCCGCAACGAGCGCAACCCUUAUCCUUUGUUGCCAGCGGUUCGGCCGGGAACUCAAAGGAGACUGCCAGUGAUAAACUGGAGGAAGGUGGGGAUGACGUCAAGUCAUCAUGGCCCUUACGACCAGGGCUACACACGUGCUACAAUGGCAUAUACAAAGAGAAGCGACC
rnacentral:rRNA from 1 species